CUUUAGUCCCAUUGGGAAGCAACAGUAUUCGUGUUCAUGGUGACAGGCGGGUUCGAGGGGAUGGGACAGAGAGGACGUUCCCUUGCUCCCUGUAGUCCUCCCUCAACGUCCUCCUCCCCUUGUUUCUCCCUCACUGUGAGAUUCUUUGUGCUCAUUUCCCUAGCUGGCUUCCAGUGAUCUUUUUCCUCCCCAUGUGGCUUUUCUUUGUCUUCCGAAGGCUGAGUGUCUCAGUUAUAUCUGCUUUUAAGACUGUCCAGAUCCCCCGAAUCCACUCCCCAGUUCCAGGAAGCUGACGUGAGAGCUGAGCCAACCCUGAUACAGAAGGGGCACACGGGAUGCAGAGCCCAUUUGGCACUUGACACCCAGGGUCUGGAAAUGCAGAACCGGUCUCCAUGAUUGUGGAAGCCUGGCCCACAGAGGCAGCCUUCUCCUUUCCCCUCUCCUGGUUUCAAUCCCUUUCUGCCCAGAUCUGCCUUUAGCUGCUCUGUAUGCCCUGUGGAGCUGGGUCGUAUGAGGCACUUGGAGGUGUAAAGGCACCGGUGGAACGGAGGGUAUGCGACUCAUCUUUGGUCCCUGGGGGAGGGGUGGCUGGCCCCAGCCCAAAGGGCUUCUAGUUUCCCAGAGUGACCACUGGACUCUGGAAGGAGUUGCUGCUCUAUUUGGGUCUGGCAGACAGAAUAGAGGUCAGAGGGCCAGAUCUGAAGGGAGGGGGGUCGGGGAGAGAGGGUGGCCCACCUCUCUAGUCUCACUUAUCCUUGGCUACAGGACAUACUCUGCAGAGUUGCUCCCAGGCCCAGUUCAGGCUGCAAGCACAAUGUCCUGAAUAGGAUUCCUGGUUGACAGGGAGAGGGAAGAAGGGCUCUGCCUUUAGUUUUUAGUUUAGUGGGUUCGGCCCUUCCAGCCUUCUCUUCCAUUCAAGAGCACUACAGGACUUGAUUCCUGGCCUUUCCUUAGUUCUCUUAGUACCCUCAUCUCUCUCUAGACUCAUCUUAGUUCCUGGGACUGUAUCUUUCAAGGGGUGUGUGGACAUUGUCUGGUAGCAUAUCCCUCUCUGUGUGAGGCCUGAGGUGGGUAGGCCUUACCAAGGAGCAGCUGGCUGUUUCUCAUCUUGCAACAGAAACCCACGUGGGCUAGGGAGACUGGAAAACUAUUCCAUGUUGGUUUGCCUUGGAGCCUAAGAC
rnacentral:lncRNA from 1 species